CAGUAGCCGCGGGAAUACGAAGGGUGCAAGCGUUAAUCGGAGUUACUGGGCGUAAAGGGUGCGUAGGCGGUUGUUUAAGUCUGUUGUGAAAUCCCCGGGCUCAAUCUGGGAAUGGCAAUGGAAACUGGACGGCUAGAGUGUGACAGAGGAUGGUGGAAUUCCCGGUGUAGCGGUGAAAUGCAUAGAGAUCGGGAGGAACAUCAGUGGCGAAGGCAGCCCCCUGGGCCAAUACUGACGCUCAUGCACGAAAGCGUGGGGAGCAAACAGGAUUAGAGACCCCGGUAGUCCCUGUCUCUUAUAC
rnacentral:rRNA from 1 species